rnacentral:rRNA from 1 species
UACGAAGGGGGCUAGCGUUGCUCGGAAUCACUGGGCGUAAAGCGCACGUAGGCGGCUUUUUAAGUCAGGGGUGAAAUCCUGGAGCUCAACUCCAGAACUGCCUUUGAUACUGAGAAGCUUGAGUCCGGGAGAGGUGAGUGGAACUGCGAGUGUAGAGGUGAAAUUCGUAGAUAUUCGCAAGAACACCAGUGGCGAAGGCGGCUCACUGGCCCG